AUAAACCUAGUCGUUCGCGUACAUAGGGGCAACCCUCGCGUGAUGUCAGCAAUACCUAGGUAACCCUUGAAUAAACUACCCUUGUUGCUUUGGCGGGCCGCCGUCUCGGCCAGCGGCUUCGGCUGCUGCGCGCCCGCCAGAGGACCACAACUCUGUAUUAUAUGUCGUCUGAGUACUAUAAAAUAGUUA
rnacentral:misc_RNA from 1 species